GUCCGUUGAAUUCGGAGCAGAAGCCGAGUCGUUUUACCUGCUGCGGUCUCUCUUCUGCCAGUCUAUCACCAAAGCCUGCCGCAUUGAGUUAACAAGGCCAAGGACCGCUACACUGACAAAGCCUGCAAUCGAAACAAACUCGUCAGGAUGUUGGGUCUAUACUACGGACAGCGGGCCUGACGGAGCGCUCUGGGAUUUUUCGCAGCCGAAACUCGUGUUAUACUCUGUCUUAUCGCCUGGGCGCUCUCAUGACCAGCAGGAAAUCCUGUUAUAAAAGACUGACGUUAAGUGUGCCAAGAUGGAAAUUCCAGGAUGUGUCCAGCAUGUGGACAGCGCUAAUCACACGACGGAGUCCAGACUGAAGGAAGGAAUGAUUUGUGGAACAGUUCCUUCACAGAACGUCAGAUAACGUCUACAGAGCGAAAAAACGAUGAUAAAGGAAAAUAACUAUAGCCACGAACUGUAUUAGCCAUGUUAUGUUUGAGUUGGCUGUGUCUGAAAUGUAAUAUUGUAGUGUAGAUAUAUCAGAAACGCGUAGAGAGAAGAAUUUACCACACUUUAAUGUCUUAUGGGUUUCUCAGACGCCAGAGGGCGCUCCUUACCAAAAUGAAUGGAUUAAAUUGGAGCAUUUAAGCAAAA